rnacentral:misc_RNA from 1 species
GUGUUGGCGCACCGAACUGCUUUCCCCACGUUCGAUCAAUGGUUUCUCCUCGUGAUAACGUCGGAUGCAAAUUACGGGUUCCUGUGCGGCAUACCUAUCGUGAUGGAAAUUCGUCCCUUCGGUUGUCCCUUUUCAUCCUCACAUCCUUUGUGGAUGCUCGGUUGGACUAGAUGGAAGGGCUCUUGCUCCACGGACACGAUCGUUCGCAUGGAAUUCGAGCGCCUUCUUGUCCCUUUCGGAUGCGGAACUUGCCUCACGGGCGUCGGGUCAUCGGCCCUUGGUCCCGAAUGUUCAAGCGUUCAUCGCUUAUGAUGGUAUGACGGUCUCGCCUUGUCCUAUGAUCAUGUGGAGCUCUCGGGCGACCACGAAGGAUCAUGCUCGGCGGACGUCUUGAAGGAAUGC